rnacentral:tRNA from 1 species
UGGCUCAGUUGGUAGAGCAUGGUGUGUGCGACGCCAGGGUUGUGGGUUCGAUUCCCAU